rnacentral:rRNA from 1 species
GAUGAACGCUGGCGGUCUGCUUAACACAUGCAAGUCGAACGGAAUCCUUAGGGAUUUAGUGGCGGACGGUUGAGUAACACGUAAGAACCUGCCUCUAGGACGGGGACAACAGUAGGAAACGACUGCUAAACCCGGAUGAGCCGAAAGGUAAAAGAUUUAUCGCCGAGAGAGGGGCUUGCGUCUGAUUAUCUAGUUGGUAGGGUAAAGGCUUACCAAGGCGACGAUCAGUAGCUGGUCGGAGAGGAUGAUCAGCCACACUGGGACUGAGACACGGACCGGACUCCUGCGGGAGGGAGGAGUGGGGAGUUAGCCGCAGUGGGCGAAAGCCUGACGAGGCAAGACCGCGUGGGGGAGGAAGGUUCUUGGAUUGGCAACCCCUUGUCUCAGGGAAGAACGCAAUGACGGUACCUGAGGAAAAAGCAUCGGCUAACUCCGUGCCAGCCGCCGCCGUAAGAC